UAGAGCGGCGACGCAACUUCCG
rnacentral:misc_RNA from 1 species